rfam:Myotis lucifugus cont2.67004, whole genome shotgun sequence.
GGCGGUUCUCAGGCGAUGCACCCCAGAAUUAAGUUUCCUCCUCUCUGGUUCUGGGUGCAUCACCUGAGAACUGCA